CUUCAGCGACCCCAGCCACAGCGGCGGCUGACCCUCGGCGCGCCCCUGCCCAUACGUAGCAAUCAGCGCCUGCGCCUC
rnacentral:antisense_RNA from 1 species